GCUCAUUGUAUCAUGUUUAAUAUCAAUUACAUAUUUUUCUCCCGUGCUUUCUCACAUGGUAUCAGAGCUCCAGUGAGAAUAUCAUAGCUGUGCGUCAUUCCAGCAACUUCCGGGAAGAAAGACAUAAUUCCGACCAACCCCAGAAAAUAUCACCGGAAAAUAACCCCCCACGUGCCGCCACACUCCCGCCGGAGUUCUGCCGGCGGCGGCGAGUCUAUCCCAUGCGCCGGCGCGUGAGACACUUUCCGGCCAGAAUUUC
rnacentral:lncRNA from 1 species